GGAGAGGUGGCAGAGUGGUCGAUCGCGCCGCACUCGAAAUGCGGUUUACGGGUGACCGUAACGUGGGUUCGAAUCCCACCCUCUCCGCCA
rnacentral:tRNA from 2 species